CUGCUUUUGACAACACAUAUUCUAAAACUGGAACAAUACAGAUAAGAUUAGUAUAAUGCCUGCAAAAGCAUAACACAUAAAUUCAUGAAUUUCAUAUUUUA
ensembl:snRNA U6 U6 spliceosomal RNA